UACAGAGGGUGCGAGCGUUGUCCGGAAUCACUGGGCGUAAAGGGCGCGUAGGCGGCCUGCUAAGUCGGACGUGAAAUCCCUCGGCUCAACCGGGGAACUGCGUCCGAUACUGGUGGGCUCGAAUCCGGGAGAGGGAUGUGGAAUUCCAGGUGUAGCGGUGAAAUGCGUAGAUAUCUGGAGGAACACCGGUGGCGAAGGCGGCAUCCUGGACCGGUAUUGACGCUGAUGCGCGAAAGCCAGGGGAGCAAACGGG
rnacentral:rRNA from 1 species